GUCGAUUUAUGUUCUACAUCCACCCUGUAGAUCCGAAUUUGUUUGAAUUUAUAUUAAUAACAAAUUCGGUUCUAGAGAGGUUUGUGUGGGGCAUUUGUUAAC
rnacentral:ncRNA from 2 species